GCUCACAUGCAUGGAUCUCAAACUGGUUAGGCUUUCCUGUGACGACGCAUCCGUGAAACAGCCAGCAGCCCACACUGCCCCUGCUGAGAAGCCACAAGCUGAUGUCACAAGAUCCUGCGCUGGCGGCUUCAGCGCCAGAAAAAUGAUGUGGAAUCUUCCCAGUGAAGACGACAUGGAUUCAGCGACAAAGAAAAGAAAGCUAGGAAGAUUCUAGCCUUUCUUCUAUAGACUUAAGUGUUUGUGACUCACUUAACGCUCACAACUGUUUUUUCUUCAUCUGGUGCUGAGGAUUAAACCCAAGCCCUUUCACACAUGGGUUUCUCCACGUAGCCCAGGCUGUCCUGGAACUUGCUCUGUAGACCAGAUUGGCCCAAAGACCCGCCUGCUUCUGCUGGGAUUAAGGUAUGUGCCACCCUGCUUUCCAGACUACUUUAAGAUGCAUGAGAACAGCUGGACUCCACACGUGUGCCGGGCUCAGAGCAGGCACGAUGGUCUGUUGGAGUAACUGAAAUGCUGCCUCUGACAGCCCAGUGACAGCAGCCACCUGAAGAUUUGUUUGGGAAACUAAUUUUUUUUCCUAUUUUCUUUUCAUU